rnacentral:siRNA from 1 species
GCCCGAGAGGUGAGAGUGGGGUA